rnacentral:rRNA from 1 species
GACGAACGCUGGUGGCGUGCUUAACACAUGCAAGUCGAACGGACAGACAGAGAGCUUGCUCUCUUGAAGUUAGUGGCGAACGGGUGAGUAACGCGUAAUCAACCUGCCCUUCAGAGGGGGAUAACAACGGGAAACCGUUGCUAAUACCGCGUACGAUUCAUGAACGGCAUCGUUUAUGAAUGAAAGGUGGCCUCUAUGUAUAAGCUAUCGCUGAAGGAGGGGAUUGCGUCUGAUUAGCUAGUUGGAGGGGUAACGGCCCACCAAGGCAAUGAUCAGUAGCCGGUCUGAGAGGAUGAACGGCCACAUUGGGACUGAGACACGGCCCAAACUCCUACGGGAGGCAGCAGUGGGGAAUCUUCCGCAAUGGACGAAAGUCUGACGGAGCAACGCCGCGUGAGCGAUGAAGGUCUUCGGAUUGUAAAGCUCUGUUAAUCGGGACGAAAGAGUUCUGCGUGAAUAAUGCAGAAAAGUGACGGUACCGGAAUAGAAAGCCACGGCUAACUACGUGCCAGCCGCCGCAGUAA